UGUCUGUAGGUGCGCACUUACCUGCUUGA
rnacentral:piRNA from 1 species